rnacentral:lncRNA from 1 species
AUGAAGGGGGGAGAAGCAGGCUUCUGCCUGCAGCCCCAGCUCCUCCGCUCUGUGCAGGCGCCAACCCGCACGCCCAGCUCAUGGGCACAUGCUGCGGGGGGACCCCUGCCUCCCUGGAGACCCCCUCGCCCCCCCAGGAGGUGGGGGCAGGGCAGGGCUGGGACCACUGCAACUGCUCAUGUGUCCCAAAGCAAAGACGCAGCUAAAACGACAGCAACCGGCCACAGUUCCUCGUGUCCCCUGCUUUCCCCACCGGCCACACGCCUGCAGCUCGGCUGGCCCCGUUGCACAUGCAGAUGUUUCCCCCCCAGCCCCAGUACGGGCCCCCCCGCAGCCGGGUCCUUACCUGGGUGCGAGUGGAGACUGAUGCCAGAUGCCAGGUACUUGCCAGGCGGCAGAGGUGCUGGUAGCCCCGCGGCCAGCGGCCCGGCAGAGGGGCCGAGGCGGCCGGCGGCGCUGGCGGCUCCCACGCGGUGCCCCUCCAUGCUCAACCCGGGCAGCAGCGGUGGCGGCACAUGCACGGCUCGGGGGGGCCCGAAGUCGCGGCCAUCCAUCCUCCUCCCGCGCGGGCUCAGGCAGAGCGGGGCCCCCCGGGCUGGGCGCGUCCCAUGGCGCUGCGACGGGCCGCGCGGCGUCUGCCUGCAGGAUGGACGCAGUGGGUUAGCCAGGAUUGGGCCCUGCCACCGGGCCGCACUCCCCGCCCGCCCGCUCCCCGUGGCCCAUUGCCCGCCGUACCGUCCGCGUCCCCUCCGCAGUCCCCCGGCGGGGCAGGGUCUCCAGCAGCCCUGGGACGGGCUGGGAAUUCAAGCCCGCUGGAGCCCGGCUCAGCGCGGGGGGCUGCGGGAGGCGCGGGCACCGACACGGACGCGGAUCACUUCGACCCCUCUCCCGCUUGGCGUCGGGACCGAGGAUUUGUUGUCAGUGCGGAGACACCAGCCCCCUCGCUGCACUGAUAUAAAUGUUACAGUCCCUAGAACACCUAUACCAGCGAUUCGCCUUCUAGGCAGAGAUACACUGUAUAGGAUCACGUAUUACUAUAUAUAA